rnacentral:rRNA from 1 species
GACGAACGCUGGCGGCGUGCUUAACACAUGCAAGUCGAACGGAAAGGCCCUGCUUUUGUGGGGUGCUCGAGUGGCGAACGGGUGAGUAACACGUGAGUAACCUGCCCUUGACUUUGGGAUAACUUCCGGCAACUGGUGCUAAUACCCGAUAGGAGCUCCUGCUGCAUGGUGGGGGUUGGAAAGUUUCGGCGGUUGGGGAUGGACUCGCGGCUUAUCAGCUUGUUGGUGGGGUAGUGGCUUACCAAGGCUUUGACGGGUAGCCGGCCUGCGAGGGUGACCGGCCACAUUGGGACUGGGAUACGGCCCAGACUCCUACGGGAGGCAGCAGUGGGGAAUAUUGCACAAUGGGCGGAAGCCUGAUGCAGCAACGCCGCGUGCGGGAUGACGGCCUUCGGGUUGUAAACCGCUUUCGCCUGUGACGAAGCGUGAGUGACGGUAAUGGGUAAAGAAGCACCGGCUAACUACGUG